UCACACUGCUCUGCAGCCCUUUGAUCACGGUUCCUGCAGCAAGCAAUUAUAACAAGCAGCACAGUCUGCAACACUCUAUCGACAGAAACCACAGGACAACUUUAGAAACCAAGCUACCUGGCAGACUACAAAAUACUAAUCAUAUUCUCAGGCCACAAAGAAAUGAGAAAUGUUGUAUCGGUGGGUAUUACAUACACCUUAUCUGUGGAUAUGCAUGACUGGCAAGCAAGGUGUAUCACCAAAGCUUUGAGGGUUCUUUACACCGUUAUGGAGACAUUCUAGGAUGUAUAUGUAUCUACAGAACUUAUUAAUAACUAGCAAACAUUCAAACAUUCAACUAUGAACAGAGAGAUUGCUCCCCCUGGCUCAAUGCCACCUGAGGUCUUGUGCUGUUUGCCCAGCAAAGCUGAGCUGAAAACUGCUCUCUGCUUUAUGGCAGAGGUGAUAGAAAUGACAGAGGCAUCUACUCACAAUUCUUACCAAUUAUUAAUCACCCUCUGGGGCUGUGUCAGCCUAUUGCAAGUGUCCAAUUCUUCAGGGUCUCUGUCUGUGGACCUUUUAGGCUGGAAUCCUCUGGCGUCAGGGGAAAUGGCAGGCUCUGAUCCUUGCUGCUGCUGGAUUCUGCUGGCUGCUCUCCAUCUCCAGGUGCAGAGGUAGGAUUCUGUGCAGUCUGAGCAUGGGUCCAAUGCUUGCUCCUCAGGCCGAUCGAACGCAGACAAGUGGCUCUGCUCCCCCAACCCACGGCAGUGUGCACAGCAGGCACUCAUACAAAGGCAGGCAAGCAAGCAUGUGGCAGAGCUGCAAGUAAUGUGGAGAAGCCCUCUCUGUGGGCCCGUGCACCCCUGUUUACCAACUGUGGGCCAAGAGUUAAUGGUCUCAU